rnacentral:tRNA from 1 species
UCCCUGGUAGUUCAGUGGCUAAGUCUCUGCACUUCCAAUGCAGGAGGUUCAGGUUCCAUUCCUGGCCAGGAAA